UGGGGAAUAUUGCACAAUGGGCGCAAGCCUGAUGCAGCAACGCCGCGUGAGGGACGACGGCCUUCGGGUUGUAAACCUCUUUUGGCAGGGAAGAAGCGAAAGUGACGGUACCUGCAGAAAAAGCACCGGCUAACUACGUGCCAGCAGCCGCGGUGAUACGUAGGGUGCAAGCGUUGUCCGGAAUUAUUGGGCGUAAAGAGCUCGUAGGCGGUUUGUCGCGUCUGCUGUGAAACCCCGAGGCUCAACCUCGGGCCUGCAGUGGGUACGGGCAAACUAGAGUGCGGUAGGGGAGAUUGGAAUUCCUGGUGUAGCGGUGGAAUGCGCAGAUAUCAGGAGGAACACCGAUGGCGAAGGCAGAUCUCUGGGCCGUAACUGACGCUGAGGAGCGAAAGCAUGGGGAGCGAACA
rnacentral:rRNA from 1 species